rnacentral:rRNA from 1 species
UCUUCGGAUCUAGUGGCGGACGGGUUAGUAACGCGUGGGAACGUACCCUUUUCUACGGAAUAGCCUCGGGAAACUGAGAGUAAUACCGUAUACGCCCUUCGGGGGAAAGAUUUAUCGGAGAAGGAUCGGCCCGCGUAAGAUUAGAUAGUUGGUGAGGUAAGAGCUCACCAAGGCGACGAUCUUUAGCUGGUCUGAGAGGAUGAUCAGCCACACUGGGACUGAGACACGGCCCAGACUCCUACGGGAGGCAGCAGUGGGGAAUAUUGGACAAUGGGGGCAACCCUGAUCCAGCCAUGCCGCGUGUGUGAAGAAGGCCUUCGGGUUGUAAAGCACUUUCAGAUGUGAGGAAAGGUUGCAGAUUAAUACUCUGUAGCUGUGACGUUAACAUCAGAAGAAGGACCGGCUAACUCCGUGCCAGCAGCCGCGGUAAUACGGAGGGUCCGAGCGUUAAUCGGAAUUACUGGGCGUAAAGCGCGCG